rnacentral:rRNA from 1 species
GGGUAUGGCUGUUCGCCAUUUAAAGUGGUACGCGAGCUGGGUUUAGAACGUCGUGAGACAGUUCGGUCCCUAUCUGCCGUGGACGUUUGAGAUUUGAGAGGGGCUGCUCCUAGUACGAGAGGACCGGAGUGGACGAACCUCUGGUGUUCCGGUUGUCACGCCAGUGGCAUUGCCGGGUAGCUAUGUUCGGAAGAGAUAACCGCUGAAAGCAUCUAAGCGGGAAACUUGCCUCAAGAUGAGAUCUCACUGGGAUCUUGAAUCCCCUAAAGGGCCGUCGAAGACUACGACGUUGAUAGGUUGGGUGUGUAAGCGCUGUGAGGCGUUGAGCUAACCAAUACUAAUUGCCCGUGAGGCUUGACCAUAUAACACCCAAGCA